rnacentral:rRNA from 1 species
GUGGGGAAUAUUGGACAAUGGGCGCAAGCCUGAUCCAGCCAUGCCGCGUGAGUGAUGAAGGCCCUAGGGUUGUAAAGCUCUUUCACCGGUGAAGAUAAUGACGGUAACCGGAGAAGAAGCCCCGGCUAACUUCGUGCCAGCAGCCGCGGUAAUACGAAGGGGGCUAGCGUUGUUCGGAAUUACUGGGCGUAAAGCGCACGUAGGCGGACAUUUAAGUCAGGGGUGAAAUCCCGGGGCUCAACCCCGGAACUGCCUUUGAUACUGGGUGUCUGGAGUAUGGAAGAGGUAAGUGGAAUUCCGAGUGUAGAGGUGAAAUUCGUAGAUAUUCGGAGGAACACCAGUGGCGAAGGCGGCUCACUGGCUCGAUACUGACGCUGAGGUGCGAAAGCGUGGGGAGCAAACAGGAUUAGAAACCCGUGUAGUCC